rnacentral:antisense_RNA from 1 species
AAACAUGGAGAGUGUUGUUAGCUUGGACUCAUUCAUUCUCGAACAAAUAUCUAGUAAACAUCCCCCAAGCUGAGGAAACUGAGAUUCAAGGAGUUGGGAGACCUCACCCACAGUCACGUGGAUCCUAACUGGCUGACAUGAGUUUUGGGCUCCUGCUGGGGUGUUGGGGCCCAGAGGUCGGCGACAAGGUCACCCAGGUCUCAGGUCGGUCCCUGCACCUUUAUCUCAUCCCCCUCCUCUGCAUUCCCAAAACCCCUCCCAGGACAGCUCCCCCACCCACCCUGCCCCUGCCCUCACCUUUUCCAUGAGGGACUCCACAGCAUGGCGGGUCACCCAGCAGCGGCCCCCGGACACCUCUCCCUCCUGGAUGAUGUCCCCUCUCUGGCUCCAGGCCUCAUACUCCUCCUGGCUCAAGUACUCUGCAGGUGACAUCGGACGGGGCCAUCAUAUACCAGCCGUGUAGGGGUCUGAGAGAGUCCCAUGGUAAACACCCCUGUCCCUGUGAACCCCGCCAGCCCUGGGAGAAGCUCUUCUCAGGGUGUCCACUUUACAAACCUGACCCUGCACGCCCCGCUCUGCCCUGCACCUCCAUCCUGAACUAUCUGGACACAGCAGUGCCUCCUGCCUCCCUGCCAGCACCGAGCCCCUCUUCCAGCCCACCCCAGUGGGGUUCAGGCCCCUACCUGGAGCCUCACCUUGCGGGUGACGGUGCACUGCUGAGUCAUGUCCUGGAUGAGGGCUAUGAGCU